CCAGUGAAGGUUCGGGAGGCUGGAGACGGUGUGUUCGAGUGCGAGUACUACCCAGUGAUACCUGGGAAGUAUGUGGUGACCAUCACUUGGGGUGGCUAUGCCAUCCCCCGCAGUCCUUUUGAGGUCCAGGUGAGCCCAGAGGCCGGAGCCCAGAAAGUACGGGCAUGGGGUCCUGGUUUGGAGACUGGCCAGGUGGGCAAGUCAGCUGACUUCGUGGUGGAAGCCAUUGGCACAGAAGUGGGGACGCUGGGCUUCUCUAUUGAGGGGCCCUCGCAAGCCAAGAUCGAGUGUGAUGACAGGGGUGAUGGCUCCUGUGACGUGCGGUACUGGCCCACGGAGCCCGGGGAGUAUGCUGUGCACGUCAUCUGUGACGAUGAAGACAUCCGGGACUCACCUUUCAUCGCCCACAUUCAGCCAGCCCCACCAG
rnacentral:lncRNA from 1 species